rnacentral:snoRNA from 1 species
UUGACCAAUGAUGACGACGGGUGGCGUAUGAGACCUCAGUGAUGAAUGUAUGUAUCUGGAACUCUGAGGUCACA